AUACGAAGGUCCCAAGCGUUGUUCGGAUUUACUGGGCGUAAAGCGUGCGUAGGCGGCAAGGUAAGUCAGAUGUGAAAUCCCGGGGCUCAACCCCGGAACUGCAUCCGAUACUGCCUUGCUAGAGUAAUGGAGGGGCAUCUGAAUUCAUGGUGUAGCAGUGAAAUGCGUAGAUAUCAUGAGGAACACUAGUGGCGAAGGCGAGAUGCUGGACAUUUACUGACGCUGAGGUACGAAGGCCAGGGUAGCGAAAAGGAUUAGAAACCCUAGUAGUCC
rnacentral:rRNA from 1 species